rnacentral:rRNA from 1 species
GACGAACGCUGGCGGCGCGCUUAACACAUGCAAGUCGAGCGAGAACCAGGGCUUCGGCCCUGGGGACAGCGGCGAACGGGUGAGUAACACGUGGGUAAUCCACCCUCGGCACCGGAAUAGCCCGGGGAAACCCGGAUUAAUGCCGGAUGGCCCGCCGGCCCCGAGGGGCUGGCGGAAAAGGUAGCUUCGGCCUCCGGCCGGGGACGAGCCCGCGACGGAUUAGCUUGUUGGUGGGGUAACGGCCUACCAAGGCUGCGAUCCGUAGCUGGUCUGAGAGGACGAUCAGCCACACUGGGACUAAGACACGGCCCAGACUCCUACGGGAGGCAGCAGUGGGGAAUCUUGCGCAAGGGGCGAAAGCCUGACGCAGCGACGCCGCGUGGGGGAAGAAGGCCUUCGGGUUGUAAACCUCUUUCAGGAGGGACGAAGCCACUCGGGUUAAUAGCCCAGAGGGUGACGGUACCUCCAGAAGAAGCCCCGGCUAACUACGUGCCAGCCGCCGCCGUAAGAC